UCUAUAAUACACCAACAGUAAAACACACAGGUUGAGUAACGCCUUUUCCUUUCAUUCAAUCAAUCUUUGUAAUGAUCGAAUUAACAGCCUUAACAGCACUCCUUGCCAUCGAUUAGCUUCCCCACCCGCCAUGUUAACUAGCAAACCUUUGCCAAUAAUUACCGGUGUUUGCUCCGAUCAAAAUUAUUAAUCCCACAAAUUCAGACUAUUUUUUAGAAGCCCAGAUCCAGAUAUUUUUAGAAGCCGUUGUGCAAAGCCUGUGGAGGUGCGACUGCUCCAGUCUUGGGAGGCGCCUUAAAUGAGAGGAGCUCAAGGUGAUGACAUGCUCUUCGUCAAUGAAAAGGUUCCAUCUCAGUUAUCAUCGAAUGACUCUGUCGCUUAUAACGCCUGCAGCCCUCACCACAAUUCCCUAAACAAACCGCCAGGUUGCCAAAAUUCUGUUUCCUGAGAUCAAAACCAGUAAGCUGAAAGGUGCGCACAGUCUACUGAUGGAUUUUACAAACUGGAGUAAAUAUUGUUUUUCUGGGCAGGAACAAGUUUUCGUUGAUUCAAAAAAUUGACCGAAAGCAAUAUUGUUUGGGUUUACUCCAGCCCUCUAAAGCUUCAGCUUUUUCUUCCUUGGUUAGGUAAAGAUCUUUGCCAGGGCUGGUGACUUUCAGAAUCAGGUGCAGCCUCUUGAAGAAGCUUUAAAUCGAAUGUAUUUUCCAAUGCUGAAUCUUCCCAUAUAUUUUUAGUUCUUCAGAUUUUCUCUUCAUGUGUAUAUUUUGUUUGCAGCUAAUGUAUAUAUAUAUUGUUAUAUAAAAAUUGAGAACCUUGUGAUGCCAUUCUUGACGUUAUUGAGAAUAAAAACGGCUGUAAGUUUCUGAUGCUUGACGCAUGAUUGACGCUUUGUUAUCUACUCAUAAUAAAGCUACAAGCAAUUGUGGAUCAAUGUAUUGAUUUCUUAAACAGGUUACUGUGUUUGAUAACAACCUGAACUCAAAAGUAUUUUCAAAUCAGAUCCAUCACUAAGCAAAAAAUUACAAUAUUUUAUCCUUUUUUCUUUCAAAUAUUUAUACAAACUAAUCUGUAUUAAAUUUGCAAUUUAGAAUUUCUGUUCAGGACUUGCAGGUCAAUGCCAGUUGUAGAGUAUGAAAAGUAUAGUCUGCAGGAAGACACAAGUUUAGUGACUGUGAUAGGGGAGACUUUUGAUCAGUUGGUAUUAAACUGUCCCGAGAAUGUUCUUCUUGAGGUUUUGUGGUGGUGAGGCUGCUGGCUCCUCUUCAACUACUUCCAAGUAUGGUGGUGUUAAGGAACUUAAGUCAGUCACGCUCCAGGAGCUUAAUAGCUGUGUUCUCAAUUCAACCCCACAUGUACGUCCGCUUAAUAAGGUCUACUUCUAAGACUACAUCAAGCUGAGUUUGGUCACCUACGCUUGCAUAACAUGUCCAAAACAUGUUUAGUAAUUGACUAUAUAUUAAAAUCUCAUGUUGCGCACAAGCCACUGCACCACCCUCAA